UGUCAAAUCAUCAUGCCCCUUAUGUCUUGGGCAACACACGUGCUACAAUGGCUUAAAACAAAGUGAAGCAAAGCAGCGAUGCGGAGCGGAUCACGAAAAGAAGCCCCAGUUCGGAUUGUAGGCUGCAACCCGCCUGCAUGAAGGUGGAAUCGCUAGUAAUCGCGAAUCAGAAUGUCGCGGUGAAUACGUUCCCGGGUCUU
rnacentral:rRNA from 1 species